rnacentral:lncRNA from 13 species
UUUUUUUAUUAUUGGUAAGAUAUUUGAAAAAUGACUCAAUUUAGAAUACUGAAUUCUUUUUCUAAGGUCAAAAGAAAGUGUUUGAGGCAGAUUCAAGAUGGCUACAGAUUUUCACAUUCCUCUCAUUAAGAAGGGGGGUCUACUUCUCUUUUCCUGGAAUCUGAACUGGCCUUAGUGACUUCCUUGACCAAUAAACAUUAGCAGACACGAUGACCCGGGAAUUUCAGGACUGAAAUGUAAGAAACCUUAUGUCUUAUUCCUGGUACUCUUGGGAACUAAUUCUUGAACCUUGAGCCACAUGUAAGAAGCCCAACUUCCACGGUGGAGUGAAUAUGAGGCCACUUGGAAAGGGAGAGGUCCAACUGAGCCAGCUUUCUAGCUGUCCAGGCCAAGCCUGUAGAAGUGAAGCUAUCCGGGAAUCUACAAACCUGCCCAGCCACCAGCUGAAUAACCGAGUAUCGCCAGCUGACACUAAAUGGAGCAGAAGAACCACCCAGCCCAGCCCUACCUGAAUCACAGACCCGCAGAAUUAAGAGCUCCUGAGCACACAAGCUAUACAACAUUCCUACUCCAGGUACCCUCAGGGUCAGCCCCUCACAGUGCCAUCUUUCUCACAACCUUCUAUCAACAGAAAGAGCCUGGAUCACUCGUGGCUCACCUUAAAAUUGGCACAAUGAAGACAGCAGCACCUCUGGCUCUUAUCAGUGGGGCCACACUUGAGAAUCAGCUGGAAUAACCCAAACCUGGACAGAGGGGCCAAGGAUGGAAAGAGCUUGAGACACCAAGAGUGAUGACAGCAUUGCAGUGGUGCUUCUCUGCUGCCUCUUCCUGCUACCAAGGCCAAUUUGUGGCUUUCCAGUGUGCCUCCACGACUGGCAGGGGACAUGGAUGACGGCCCAUCUCCAGGCUCAGCAGACACCCCUGAGGUCACUUAGGUGAGCUGGAUAGUGGAGUGAGUAAGAUGUGAAAGCAUUUCCCUAGGUUAGUGUGCUAGGGGUUCCAGAUGCACAGUGGUGCUGGGAUAUGACAGACACCUGCCUUAUCAGCACAGGACUUGCUAUCAGCCUUUUGCUAUAUAUAGUUAUGUUGGGGGGCUGUGCUCUGACCUAAGGCUGUCUGAAUCUAAAUUUGCCUUCUGUAGAACUGAUAUGCAUUCAUUUUCUUGAACAGGGUCAGUAAGCCAAGACUACAAUUCAAAUAUUUGAAACAAAAUUUGAAUUUGAAACCAAGUUUUUUGACAGAAGCAACCUGCAACAUGACCACCCAAUGACCCACCUCCAAAAAAAAAAAAGCCAUAGCCAUCAACAACUUCAUCAGUGUAUUCUGUUAUGUGGAACUUAACUCAUUCCUCUAUAGUACCUUGCUCCUUUCAGUAGUUACAGGGAACAAAUAUUUAAGGUCAAAUAACUUUGGUCAACUUUAGUGAUAGUGAUACAAUAUUGCUUGCUGUGAUAAUUUGGUCUCUUUUCUAAAAUGGGACUCUCCUUGCCUGGUGGUUGUACUGUAUGGGAAAGGUUACACAGUUUGCAAGAGCAAGCGGCCCCAAAGUUGAUUUUUCUUGCCUAUGAGGACAUUGUGUCUAUGAGGAACAUCUCACAACACAACCUUGUCUGCACCGACACUCAUGGGGGGCCAACCAGAGGCCAGAGCAUGGGAUCUGAGCAGAGGAUCUCAUUUGUGUCUCAGCUCUGCCAAUGGUCCCCCCAAAAGCAUGAUUCUUAGCCUUAUUUCUUUAU